rnacentral:lncRNA from 1 species
CAGCCCCCGGGCGAAUUAUGGGGCUCAGGGGGUGGCUAUGGGUCCCUGGGGGUCCCUGUGGCUCCUGGGGGUCCCGGGGGGAUCCCCACACCUUAUUUCAGUCCCUAUGGUCCCUUAUAGCUCCUUAUAGGUGCCUUAUUGGUCCCCGGAGUCCCUUUAGCUGCCAAGGGUCCCUGUGGGUUCUUACAGCGCCUGAAGAACCCUGGGGGUCCCUGUGGGUCCCCGGGGGUCCCAAUGGCUCCUGAGGGUCCCUGUGGGUCCCCGGGGUCCCAAUGGCUCCUGGGGGUCUCUGUGGGUCCCCGGGGGUCCCUUUGGUCCCUGUCGCUGCAGUGGCUCCUCGGAGUCUCUGUAGGUCCCCGGGGAUCCCGACGAUCCCUGUGGCUCCAAUGGGUCCCUACAGCUCCCCGGGGGUCCCUACGCCCCCUCCCCGGCCGCCACAACCCCCUGCGGGCCCCAGAGUCCCUCCGCCCCCCGCCCCGGUCCCCUCCCUCCCCGUCCCCGAUCCCCUCCGCCCCGUCCCGUCCCCCGGGGCCCCCCGCGCCCCGUCCCGUCCCCGCCUGGUCCCGCCGGAGCCCCCGCGGCCCGGAGGGGGGAGGAAGCGGCGUCCGGCGGCGUCCCCGGGGGGGGGCAGGGGGCGGCCCGGCCGCUCUGGGCUCCCGGGGGUCCGGCGGUUCCCCGCGCUGGCUGAGGCGGCCCCGGGAAGGCGGAGCCGGGACAUUGUCACCGGGACAAAGGAAAAGGAACCAGCGCCGGACGGGGCGGGCCGGGGGCACCGGACGCCGUGGGUGGGGGGGGGGGGGGGGGGGGGACCGGACGAGAGGCCGGCGCGGGGAGGGGGGGGCGGCCCUGACCCCGGGACCCCCGGGGACCCUCGCACCGGGCUGGGGGGAGGCGCUGCUGCCCCGCCAACCCGCGGGACACCGGGAGCCGAGCCCGGAGGGUCGGCGGGGGCGGUGUGGGGGAAAACGGGCCCGGAUAACGCGGGGGGCGGUCCCGUGUGUCCGCCCCCCCCCCCCCCCCCCGCCUCCCCCGUUCCGGCGCGGGGUCCCCCGGGCCCGGCUGCGGUGGCGCCCGGCGCCACUGGGGGGCGCCCUGUGCGCUCCGACCCGCGCGGCCACGGCGGCGCUUUGGCCACGCCCACGGCCACGCCCUCCCCAGGGGGCGGAGCCAGUCCAGCAGCGCAUGCGCAAAAGGGACUCCUCACCGGGGGCGGGGCCGUAAAGGGGCGUGUUCUUUUCCCCGCCCUCUGGCGCCGUUUUGUGACGUCACUCAGGCGCGCCCGGAAGCGGCGCCGGGACCGGGGGGUCCUCCCGGGGUGGGUGGGGGGAGGGGUCCCGGGGAGGGCUCGGGGGUCCCGGCGCCGCCGCUGCCAUGGUGGGGACAGCGGUGCUGCAGGUGCUCCGCCAAGGCGUUUGGGCCUCGCUGACGGGCGGCUGCUUCCUGGACCCUCAGCUCGGAGCCUUCGCCAACUGCGUGCGGCUCUACGUGUGGCUGUUCCUGCUCGGGCUCCCGCUCGGCCUCUACUCGGCGCUGCCCCCCAGCCCCGCCGUGGCCGCUCUGUACUGCGGGCUCGUGGCCGCGUUCUUCGGGGCCGUCAAGGCCGUGACGUUCCGGCUGCACGCGCGCCUGGACCGGGGGGGCUCCGAGGGGGACCCCGAGGGGGGGGCGGCCGCUCUGCUGCCCCCCCCCAGCCCUGAGGAGCGGGACCCUUCCCCCGGGUGAGUUGGAGGGGUUGGCGGGGGGGGGUGGGAGUUGUGACCCCUUUUUUGGGGGGGCCGGGUGGUAAUGGUGGGGUUGGGGGGGGUCUCUAAGGGCUGGGGGGGGGGGGUCAGGGGCUCACCCCGGGGGUAUUUGGGGGGCUGGGGGGGGGGGGAACCCUGUGGGUCUGUGGUAGCCUGGGGGGGUUGGAGUGGGGGUUGUGAGGGGUUCGGGGGUCCCCUGGUGUCUCCCCGCCCCCCCUCACCUGUUACCCCACGCAGCCCCCCCGGGGGGGGUCUGGAGCUCUCGGUGCUCCGGUGGCCGAGCGCGACCCCCCCUCAACUCUGCGGCUUCAACCAACUCUCGGUGAGUGGGGGGGAGGGGGUGUGAAGGAACAGGGACCCCUCCCCACCCCCCCCGUGUCCCCCGUAACCCACCCGAGCGUCACCUGUCCCCAGGAGCUGCUGCCACACCUGGACACCGCCACCGGCGCCGGGGGUGAGCAGCACCGGGACCCCCCCUCCCCUCCCCCUCCCCGGUUUGUGUCCCACUCCCCCUCUAACCCCCCCCCGCCCCCCCCCCCCCGCAGAGCUCCGGGGCAUCGUGACCGCAGCUGACCGGGCCUGGCUGCGCUCGCCGGGGCACGGAGGGGCCUGGGGGGGGCCCGAUGGGGCUGGGGGCGAUGCCAGGACCCCCCCCCCGACCCUCUGCCCCCCCCCAGCCCCGGUGAGCUGCCCUGCAGGGCUGGGGGUCCCGCCUGGCAGCCCCCCCCGUCACCCCCCCAGGGUGGGGGUCCCAGCAGCCGCUGCUCGACCCCCACCCCCCCCACGGGCCCCCAGCGCCCCCCCCGGGAGGGCUGCGGAGGGGGAGGGGGCUCUGGGGGUGAGCGGCCAGGUGAGACCCCCGGUGGGGCGUGAAGGGGGGCAGGGGGUGACCCCAUAACGGGGGUGGGGGGAGGUCCAGCCCCGUACUGGAGGGAUCCAGCCCCACACUGGGAAGGUCCAGCCCCAUACUGGAGGGAUCCAGCCCCACACUGGGAGGGUCCAGCCCCACACUGGGAGGGUCCAGCCCCACACUGGAGGGAUCCAGCCCCACACUGGGAUGGUCCAGCCCCACACUGGGAGGGUCCAGCCCCACACUGGGGGGUCCAACCCCACACUGGAGGGGUCCAGCCCCAUACUAGGGGGGGGUCCAGCGCUGUGACUGGGAUGUUCUGGGGGACACUGGGGGUUCCAGCCCUGUAAUGGGGGGGCUGGGGGCUGCUUCCCCCCCCCCAAACUGAGGAGCGCUUGGGGGGGGGGGUCCUGCCCUAUAGCCAGAGGGGUUUGGGGAAGGGGUGCAGCCCCACGGUGACGUUUGGGGGAGGGAGGGCCCCCGAUCUCUUAAGUGGACCCUUCCCCUUCAUUUUGCCGGGUUUUGGAGGAGUUUUGUCACUUUUAGGGUUGAUAAGAGAAAUUAUUAAAUAAAGCCCGUAACGGUUCCAAAAAUCGGUUUUUUUGUGGUUUUCCCGCCACGCUCGGAGCGGGGGGAGGGGGGAGGC